rnacentral:rRNA from 1 species
GAUGAACGCUGGCGGCGUGCCUAAUACAUGCAAGUCGAGCGAACAGACGAGGAGCUUGCUCCUCUGACGUUAGCGGCGGACGGGUGAGUAACACGUGGAUAACCUACCUAUAAGACUGGGAUAACUUCGGGAAACCGGAGCUAAUACCGGAUAAUAUAUUGAACCGCAUGGUUCAAUAGUGAAAGACGGUUUUGCUGUCACUUAUAGAUGGAUCCGCGCCGCAUUAGCUAGUUGGUAAGGUAACGGCUUACCAAGGCGACGAUGCGUAGCCGACCUGAGAGGGUGAUCGGCCACACUGGAACUGAGACACGGUCAAGACUACUACGGGAGGCAGCAGUAGGGAAUCUUCCGCAAUGGGCGAAAGCUUGACGGAGCAACGCCGCGUGAGUGAUGAAGGUCUUCGGAUCGUAAAACUCUGUUAUUAGGGAAGAACAAAUGUGUAAGUAACUAUGCACGUCUUGACGGUAACUAAUCAGAAAGCAACGGCUAACUACGUG